CUCAAGGAAGGGUAGGAAGAAUAUUAAUCUCUCCUCUAAAAUAGUUCUGGGAUGGCUGCCAUACAUACAGCUCUAUCAUAUUGUUGGGAUCCUAACUCAAAUCGUUAGACAAGGAUAGAGAUCAGAGACCCAUGGUGAAUUAAGUUUGUACUUUUCAGGGAAUCAUAAAGAUACUAAGAAUACAGGAAAAAACAAAAACCAGGAACCUUGCCUUGUAACCAUCUCCUAUCGCAGAAGUACAUGUUUACUUCCCCUUCCGCUGCGAUUGUAAGUUUCCUGAGGCCUCCCAAGCCAUGCGGAACUGUGAGUAAAUUAAACUUCUUUCCUUUAUAAAUUACCCAGUUUCAGGUAGUUCUUUUUUUUUUUUUUUUUUUUUUUGAGCCAGAGUCUCGCUCUUUUGCCCAGGCUGGAGUGCAGUGGCGUGAUCUUGGCUUGGUCCACUGCAACCUCCACCUCCCGGGUUCAACUGAUUCUCCUGCCUCAGCCUCCUGAGUAACUGGGACUACAGGCGUGUGCCACCACGCCCAGCUACUUUUUGUAUUUUUAGUAGAGACAAGGUUUCACCGUGUUAGCCAGGAUGGUCUCGAUCUCCUGACCUCAUGAUCUGCCCUCCUCGGCCUCCCAAAGUGCUGGGAUUACAGGUGUGAGCCACCGCACCUGGUCAAUCCUUUCCAUUCAAUACUACCCAUCAUUGGUCUACAGUUCGUUCAACUAUAAAAAAGGAAAGUGUUUUUCUUGCUUGGUUAUUAUUAUGGAUUGAAUUGUGUCCCCCCAACAAACAGAUACAUUGGAGUCCUAACUCCCAGUACUUCAGAAUGUGACUGUCUUUGGAAAUAGGGUCUUUAGGAGGUAAUAAAGGUAAGAUGAAGUCAUUACGGUGGACCCUAAUCCAAUAUAACUGAUAUCCCCCAAAGGGAGAAAUUGAGACACAGAGACCGACACCAAAGAGAGAAGAUGAUAUGAGGAGACACAGGGAGAAGAUGGACAUUUAACAGCUGAGGAACACAAGACUACCAGAAGCUAGGAGAGAGGCCUGAAACAGAUCCUUUCUCAGUUCCUUCAGAGGGAUCAUGGCCCUGCUGACACCUUGAUUUCAGACUUCUGGCCUCCAGAACUAUGAAAUGGACCCACAUCCUUAGCUCAAUGGAGAGCUCUAGCACCCUGUAUCCAAGUGAUCACUUCAUAAAGGUACCCAUUUAUGCAUAGCUUUGUAGACUGAGGGCCAGAGGAGUGGCUGUUUGGUAAGUAGUCAUCACUAUGUAAGAAUCAAACCUUUAUUUUUCUCGGUAGAAAGUCAGUAGAUAUUUUCUUAAACUAAAAACAUUAAAAUAAAACUAUAUGGAUAUUUUAAAAUAUGGAUACAAAAAUGGCUAAAAGAGUUCGAUUUAAAAAAAAAAAAGAAACAAAGAAGGGAUAAACCAGAGACUGAAGAAAAUUUGUUAUCUACAGGACAGGGUGAUUUGGCUUUGUGUUCCCAUCCAAAUCUCAUCUUGAAUUGUAAUCCCAUAAUCCCCAUGUCUUGUGGGACGGACCCAGUGGGAGGUAGUUGAAGCCUGGAGGCGGUUUCCCCCGUGCUGUUCUCGUGAUAGUAAGUUCUCACGAGAUCUGAUGGUUUUAUAAGCAUCUGGCAUUUUCCCUGCUGGCACUCAUUUUCUUUCCUGCUGCCCUGUGAAGAGGUGACUUCAGUCAUGAUUGUAAGUUUCCUGAGGCCUCCCCAGCCAUGCAGAACUCUGUGAGUCAAUGAA
rnacentral:lncRNA from 10 species